ACACUCUGGUUUCUCCUCAUUACACGAACAAAUCUUUCGCCUUUUACUAAAGAUUUCCGUGGGGAGGAGCGCUCAAUGAGUCUUCACUUAUUUUUUUGCCCGGCCGAGCUCGGGU